UACGUAGGGUGCGAGCGUUGUCCGGAAUUACUGGGCGUAAAGAGCUCGUAGGCGGUUUGUUGCGUCGGCUGUGAAAUCCCGAGGCUCAACCUCGGGUCUGCAGUCGAUACGAGCAAACUAGAGUGUUGCAGGGGAGACUGGAAUUCCUGGUGUAGCGGUGAAAUGCGCAGAUAUCGGGAGGAACACCAGUGGCGAAGGCGGCACUCUGGGCCGGUACUGACGCUGAGGAGCGAAAGCGUGGGGGAGCGAACAGGA
rnacentral:rRNA from 1 species